CCUCAGCGGCUCCCGUCACAGCGCGUGACAUCCUGAGCACAGCGGAAGCGGCUUUGCAGGAACCCGGAGACGCAGAAAUGCUUCUUAAUUCUGGAGAGACUGGCACACGGCGGCGUGCGGGGACGAUUGUGGGUUGUGCAUUGUAAUUAAAGUCAGAAAACUAAUUUACACCUGGAGCACAUAGCUGUAGAUACGCAGCCCGCUCAUUGCCGCGCUGUCACUAUUUGUACUGUGGUUUCUCUGCCGCCACAUGGACUUCUAGAGGCGCCGACUGUAAAUAACGCUGCGGCCGCGGGUUCGACCGCUUUCUGCAGCUCCGUUGCAAUGAGGAGGACGGCCGAGCUCCGCGCUCCGGUUUCGUGCCAUUUCAGCUCCAUUUUGCUCGAGAACCCAAGCAGGUCAGUGUUGAUCCUGAGGGCAGCACAAGCAGAGAAGAACAUGAACAGGCCCAUUUGGACUUAAGCAGGUGAGGAGACUAAUGCAACCACACGGUGCUCCUGCUCACGGCACAAACUGUCGGCACUCUGGGUUCACGCUCAGAACUCUGGGUCGGUUCUAGUCCGCGUUGGAGGGAGCAGCAUCACUCUAUGCAGCGACCCCCCCCCCUUGGAUCCAGAGAGAUGUAGCAGGUUUAUUGUUUAGAUAGUCGUAACCCCGACUGACUGUUACCUGGUUGUUGUAGUGCAGGUAAAUGGACAGUGAGUCAGCUAACGGUCUGACAGUGGAAGCUUAUUUUAGACUGGAAACUGGAGCAGGACUCACUGAAGUGAGGAGGAAAUAGCAAAAGGAAACUAUGAAUGUGUGCGCGAAAGUACAUGCUAAUGAUUAGAGUUCAGCUUGUUUACGUGCGCAGUUUGAAAUGUUGUCUGCAGAAGACGAGGUUGGAUUAAAAUGCUGAAGCUCGAUGGACAGGACGGCCUCUCAGGUCCGCGCUGAGAAGAACCUGCUGUCGGAGCCUUUCCCAAGAGUUCCCUCGGCUUCUCUUUGUCACAGCCGAGCAGGGAUGAUAUGAGUACGAAAUAAAUCCUCUGAGUCACCGUGAUUGGGGUUCGUC
rnacentral:lncRNA from 1 species